rnacentral:lncRNA from 1 species
CGUGGCGGUUGGAAUCGUGGCCGCUCUAAAUUAAAUUAGGGUGGUGUGGUUUUUUUAAGGACGUUGUGGCCGCGCCUUAAAUUAUGGUUUCGGGUGACUUGUUAGAAAGGCGGAGGCCCGUUUUAGAUUUCGGUAUUGGGGAGUCAUAAAGGUUCUCUGGGUGGAAAACUUAAAAAGACGGGCAGCUUAAAGAAUAAAAGACACGGGAACUAGCGUAGAAUUCGUGCAUACGAAGCACGGACGUUUGCAUUGCAAGUUUGCACGCGCAAUGCAAGCAUUCUUGCUUCGUAUCCAUAGGCUGCGAAAUGCCUUUUACCAGUAAUGCAAUCCUGCACGUGUCUUCUUCGGAGCAAGCCGCCCCGACCCAGCUAAAUUUGCUGGGAUGGCAACUUUGGAGAGGACGCAGCAGGAACAGGCGCUUCUGAGAACCGAAAUCCCGUCUGAAGGUUUACUUAAUCUAGGUCCGUUGCUUGAAUUUAACUCCCGUGGGGCUGGCCAUUCCCAGGUGCGUGAAUAGGGGGUAACCCCGCAAUCGCUGCCGUGCAUGCAUCGCAACAGGGAUGAGAGGCAGCAGAAACCAUGUAACUUCGUAAAUCGUGGACGGGGUGAGAAAAGAAAAGGAGACUGAACCGUGACGUGCAGCAGCAGCAACAGCUACCUACCAGCAAAGCGACACUAAAGCACCACCUCGCGGUCGGGUCCGAUACAAUCGUAAACAUCUCCAUCUUGGCUUUCGGUUGCCUAGCCUAACAGCACCGCCCUCUCUGCCGCCAUUUAUGGAGAACAGAAGCACACGCCCGUGUAAAUAGCCUCAAGUCUCCCUCCUGUGUAACAGAUCUGCCUUUCAGCCUUGAAUUGAAUCUUUAACCACGUCAGGCGGGGGAGGGGGGUCACAUGCUUCAUUUCUUCAUCAGGGGGAAAAAAGUCCCUGUACUUAGAAAAGUAGAAUGUCAUGGAGAAGUUAAACCAGAUUUUCUGUAAAGUAUUCUUAGCAUUUUUGGUGCAGAGGAACCUACAUGUAGUCUUAAAUAGUAUAGUCUAGUAACCACAGGAGUUUUCUAUUAAGUAGUGGGUUGACAAAGCAGACGACACAGAGAGUUCUCCAAGUAGCUCUUUAUAGUAAGCUUGAACUGAACUGAAGGGUUCAGCCAACCUGCUUAUAUAGAGCUCCACUACAACGCAACAGUAACAACUUUCUGUAACUAUCCAAUCACUGAACAUCACUUUCAAUUCCUUAUUUGCAUAUGUGGACCUGAGUGAAAACUAUCUACAGUACCCCCCCUGCUGGCCCAGGGUGAGAACUUCAGUACAUAACAUUUUCCUAAUCCCCAAAUGCUUUGGCUCCUACUUUUGUACAUGUUCCUUAUGACAGUUUAAAGCCACUGCUGUUCUUUUGCCCAACCUUCGUUCUUCCUGUUUUGUAGGCCAAAAAUAACUGAGGAUAUUCCAAAUGAAAAUUAAGAUCUGUACUAGGAAAGGAAGGUUGGAUGGUGUAGUAAUGUACACACAGUUGAAGAUAUAGGAGACAGAAACAUUAACAUGACCAGCAGUGGGAGGAGACUAAGCAGAUGCUGAGUGAGUGAUUUGAACCUCCAUUUAUUUCCAACUUUUCCUAGGUUCAGAGUGUGCAAGAUUCUCAUGCCAAGCGUUCCAAAAGGCUGUCAGAGAUCUAAUCAUGCAGAUCAAUUAAGAAGUUAGAGGCAAUACUACAAUGAAAAAAUAUGAAUAGGCAUAUCAGAAUGAAAGGGCGUAUUAUUUCUUAAAUAAGGAAGCAAAGCAUUCACUAAGCUUGAUUCAAAUGGACAGUGGAGGUUAAUUAUAAUGAGAGGGCAUUUAAAUCCAACAAUCAGAAAUAAAAGAUGUCAGUUAAAAUGAUUACUGUAUACUUCUGUUAGUAACUGACAAUGGCAUUCUAUGCUUCUCUAUUCAGAAGUAAGUUCCCCUGAGUUCAGUAAGCAAGUUGGUAUAUUUUGUUUAUGAAGCAAGAACAAGGUGGCUAAUUUAAAACAAAAGGUGUGCAGCACAAUCCUAUGCAUGUUUAUUCAGAUAUGAGUCCCCAUGUUCAGUGUAAGUAUGUUCAACAUGGCACCCUAAAGCACAUUCAACAAAUUUCCAUGGAUCGUCAAUUAAUGGCUAUGUUACUAAAUGCAUUGCUUUAAAAGACUGACCAACAGACCAUCCUUUUAUUGGUCAAAAUCAGAAAAUAGAAUAUUGUAGGUCAAACCACAGAAUUCCCAAAAUAAGCCAAAUUCAGUCUGUGUCUCUUAACUACUUGCUAAGGUACAUGAGAUCAUCAGCUGACAUAUACCACCAAAGAUGAAAAUAUCUAAUGCUAGCUUGAUGUCAUCUGCUUUUUAUAUGUAGCUACAACAUUCUGGGUUUGACCUCUUUUCUUAAUUUGAACUUACAGAUUCUAUGGUGAUAAGUAGAAUUUUACUUUUGUUCGACCAGUGCAUUAUUGAAGUAGGUGGUGUUCUUUGGCAGAAUUGUUAUGGAACUCCUUCAUUUGAGUGGGAGCUGUUCUAACACUAGGGUGACUCAGAGUUUGCUUCAAAAUAUGAAUCAUCUCAGAUCUGCCAUUUCAAAACCUCCUAAGCUAUGCAGGUACGAUUAUAAGAACUGGCUUCCGUAAUCCCCAAAUGGCCAAAUGUUCUGCAAGAAAUCACACGGGGUUCAAAAUGUAACAUGCAAGAUUUCAAAUUACAUAGAUGGCUUUCUUGGGACAGCCAUUUAAUAUCAAACAUGUUUUGUGACUAAAAAUAGACCAUUCUGCUGACAUGGUGCAUAAUGCUAAACUGGGCUUCUCUUUGCCAGUAACCUCAGAAUUCCCCCCUUCCUGUUUUCAUGUCUUCAUAGUUUUCUUUAUAGUCAUGAGUACCUUGCAAGGUUUGUUUCUCUGCUUGUCCAAUUGACACUGGAAUUGGAGAUGGCACUAUAGGAGAGGGACUUGCACGAAAAUAGCAAAGGUUGGAAUACCACCAUCUCACCUUUUCCUCAAACCAUCCAACGAAGGGUUGCACAUUUCUCUCGUGGCACUAGGGAAUAUCCCUACCGGCAAAGGGUGGCAUAAACGUGCUAACCCUAGACACUAUGGGGUGGUUGGGAAUCGUGUUGGCCGGGAGAAAAUAAGUGUAACACAAUGAACCAGAAUGUAGGACAAUGUUAGGAAGGCCUUAGUUGCAUCUCAUAGCACAAGCCCAUCAGUUUCAUUUGCUCUCACCAAUUAUGGCUUUGGGGUCGCAGCAAGAGUUAAACCACCCUUCAUCACCAGUGUAAUUGUGGAUGUCAUGCACCAGUCAUUGUGGAAGCAACAAUGUAGAGCGCAAUGUAGGAACACAAGAAGCUGCCUUAUACUGAGGCCAGACCCUUGGUCCAUCUAGUUCAGUAUUGUCUAUAUACUGACUGGCCGUGUCUCUCCCACCAUUACCUGGAGAUGUCAGGGGUUGAACCUUCUGCAAGAGUAGAUGCUCUACUACUAAGCUAUGGUGCUUUCCAACCUCAUUCUUCCCAUGAUUCCUUGUAGUUCCUGCUUAUUUGUGUGUUAACAUCUAAAUUCUUAGUACUUUAGUGUGCUUCUUCUGAACACAAGCAUUCAAAACAGUGUCAGCCAGUAUCUCCUGACUCUGUUAGCAUCUGACCCUGAGAAACACCCUCAUCAGAAUUUGACUAUGUACAGUGACAGUAAUACAUACAGUGGUACCUUGGGUUACAGAUGCUUCAGGUUACAGACUCCGCUAACCCAGAAAUAGUACCUCGGGUUAAGAACUUUGCUUCAGGAUGAGAACAGAAAUCGAGGCACGGUGGCAGCGGGAGGCCCCAUUAGCUAAAGUGGUGCUUCAGGUUAAGAACAGUUUCAGGUUAAGAACGGACCUCCAGAACGAAUUAAGUUCUUAACCCGAGGUACCACUGUAUAUGCAAACAGUUUCUGUUUCUUUUUGCCUUUUAUAAUCAGUUUUUCUGUCAGUUUAAUUUUUGUUGUAUCAUCUUGUUGAAACGUAACAUUAAAUGUGAUCCCUAUUAACACUGUUAUCCAUUUUCUAAGACAUUACAGAACAUAUUUAUAUAUUUCUGUUGGUGGUGGCCUGGAUGGAAACAGCAAAAAUCUGGAAAAUACCUUCAGGCUGCUCAAUCCAAGGAUGGUUCACAAGAGUAUGGCACAUUAUCCAGAUGAAAAAUUAACACAUCACAGCAGAUUAGUUAGAGGGUUUGUUAAAUAUUACGUUUUUAUCCUACAGCAGGGCAUAUAAACCAUUUAUCAUUUUGGUGGAAAAGUGUUUGUUGUCAUGGAAAACUUUCCUAACAAUGCAUCACAUCACUAUUCUUCAGCUAAUGUUAUCUAUCACUGGUAAAACUGUUUACAUUUCUCUUUGUGCAAAUUAUAAUUUGAUUGCUGUUUAAUGCUUAUGUUUGGUCAAAUCUGUUUUUAAAAAUGUAACAAUAGUAAUUGGCCGUUUGCCUGUCUGAUUUGUAACAAUACAGUUCUUUAUUUUUCAGUGGCUUUCCCCAUACAUUUUCUGCUGCUUGUAAAGAUCACUUAGUGCUGCAUUUUGGUUUUAGUGCUGUUUAUUUCUUUGGUAUGUAAUUUUUAUGGUAUGGAUUUUCUUUAAUGUUAACCACUUUGAUAAAUAUUCUUAAUGCAUUUAAUAAUGAAAUUAAAUCACAUUUAGUCUGCAGUCAAAGACAAAUUGGCUUCACAAUUUGCUUCGCUUCAAAACAGAGUACCGUAUCUUUGAGGCCUGACCAUACAGUGGUACCUCAGGUUAAGUACUUAAUUCGUUCCAGAGGUCCAUACUUAACCUGAAACUGUUCUUAACCUGAAGCACCACUUUAGCUAAUGGGGCCUCCUGCUGCUGCCGCGCCGCCAGAGCACGAUUUCUGUUCUCAUCCUGAAGCAAAGUUCUUAACCUGAAGCACUAUUUCUGGGUUAACAGUGUCUGUAACCUGAAGCGUAUGUAACCUGAAGCGUAUGUAACCCGAGGUACCACUGUAUAGGGUUUGUGACUACUGACCGAAUUGUUCAAAUCGCAUGAACCUCAGGCAAAACACAUUUUAGGGUGACAGGAUGCAAAGGAGGACAGGGUUAGUUACGGUUAUCAAAGUGGGGCUUUCAGGCGAUGCAUAUUUUUCUUCAACCCUGCAGAACAAUCUGCACUGCUGAAAAUCACUCUUCUGCACAACUAAGAAGCAUAUAGACAAGGACAUGCUGGGGCAGAAGGGUAGCAAAUAGGGGUGUCGUGCAGUUUAUGGUGACCACACCUGAUGCUGGCAACGACAACCAGCAGACAUACUGCCUAACCAGCCCCACCACUUCCCACCAACCUGUCUACCCCUCCCCUUCCUAGACCAAAGGGAGGCCUUGGCAUCACUACCGCUACUAAAGCAAUGACAAAACAAAUAUGUAGGCCGGUGAAGGGGAAGGGACUGUCACUGCCACCACCAUUGCCAUGAAGAGGCAGGGAGAAGCAGAGGAAAGGGGGGAGAUGAAGGCAACGAAGAGGCACAUAGUAUGUUUGGACCAAGGUCAAUCAAGGACAUAACAGGGAAACAUAUUAGACUUCAUAAUUUUAUUUCCCCCCCCUCAGUUUUUCUGGGUCUUAGCUGAGGUAAUUGACUUCAUUUCAGUAGGUUCUCAUAUAUGAAUACAACAGACAGAGAAAAGCUUCUGGUGUUGCAUUCAGGCAGCAAACCUUGAUAUGAGAUAAUAGGUAUUGAAAAAACUCAGUUGCUCCUGCUUUAAUCAAUGAAAUCAUGGAAGAUAUACAAUAGAAAGGUCCCCUUUUGUGCACACAUACAUGCAGCUUGACAGAAUGACAGGCCUCUUUAUUACUCUAUUAUAGAAACGUGGGCGGGGAACCAGUUUUCAGGACCUUUCCUCAGACCAGACUAUGCCUCAGCCUUUAGAAUAAAUAUGAUGACCCAAAGUCACAGAGUAUAAACUCUCACCACAUGCCAAGGAUUUCACAGUAGCCUCCCCAAAAUCAACUACACUGCUACAGAGAGGAGGCCAGUGAGGUAUAAUGUAUAGAAAUUCACAUAAUAUCAGUAAAGAGAAAAAUCGAAUAGUAUCAGAAGGAAAUUAAUUUUUUCUCACACAUAACUUCCCUAUGGAAGGCAAUAGGUACAAUAACAACAAAAACUACAACUCUCAUAAUUAAUUCUCUGUGUUUCCAACAACAUGGCAAUGAUAUGCUUCCUUCCUUGAAUGAAAUCUUGGGACUGAAUGCCUUGGAGGGAAAAUCAGGUAGUAGCCACUGUGCAGCACAGUGCUUUGGGAAUAGGAAGAACCACUAGGAGCAAAGGUGCUUUCUGCCCUGCCCUGCUCUGUUCUCUUUUCAACAGUGCAAUUUUAGCAUUGCCUUCAUUGGCAUUAUCCAUUUGAUCUGAGGACAAAGUCAUGUGGAGUGGCCUGUGUACUAGUAAAGAGAAGCAACAAUGAGAGAGCCUACUUUGCAUUUUUUUCAUUAAGGUCAAUAAAAAAGAAGGGUGGAGAGAAGGAAGAAGAAAGAACUGCCCAGGAAUGCCAUACAUCCAUUGUGUGCUUGGAUUAUUAGCCACUGAUGGGGAAGGCAAAGGGUCUUCUUGCUCCCAUCUGCUCUGCUCUCUUCACCCACUGCAAAUGAUUAUAGAUCCACACUUGUUUACCAUGUUCAGACUUCAGGAAGCAGUAGACUGUAACUAAUCAAAAUCAGCAAUCCUGGAUUCCCAAACUUCAAAGACUCAAAUAAGAGAAUAGAUGGCCCCCAUAUUCCCAUCCCAGUUAGCUGACUGUGGUUUCACAGAACAAAAGCCAACCUAAUUUUCAAAAUGUCAUUAAGGAAGCUUUAAUAAUAUAAAUAGGGUGUGUGCGUUGACUUGGUUUAGGAGCUAAAUAACCUUGUGAAUUGGGAUGAUUUUGCAGUAUUAUUUAUUCUGUAUUUCUGUUUUAUAGCUCUAUAUUUGCCUAUAUCUCUGUGGUCUUCCCAUCCAUGGUUUUUUUUGCAAGAAAUAAGGCUGUCCAAAAUGUUACACACAGAGCACUUAAGAGCUCUCAGUUGGGUUUAGUUGUUGUCGAAACACAGAAAUGGGGGUGUGUGUCUUUUUUUAAAAGAUGAAAGCUUAAUUUAACUUUAUUUUUUUAAGUCCUAUAUUGAUCAGCUUUAACAACAACUACAACAACAAACCUCAGAGCUCUUGGUAACGCCAAGGUUGCAGAUCUCCUGGGUAUUCCUGCACUGCUUGGACUAGAUUACUCUCAGGAUCUCUUCCAACUUCUAUGAUUCUUCAGAACUCUACAGGCAGCAUUCUAGAUAGCCUCAUGAUGCAAGGCCUGUCUAAGAUCUAUCGGAGGACAUAAACUAACCCUGGAUAAGAAAUGCAGGAAUGAAGCGGCAAUUUUUUUUAUUAAAAAAAUUAUUUUAAGGUAAGGUAAGAGACAACCCUUCACUUCCCCAACCCCAGAGAUUAUGGAGGAAAGUGAAUCCCUUUUAUUUCCCCCAUAAAUUGUCUGUAAUUUGACAGACUUAACCCACUCUGGACGGGUUCCUGCACAUUGUUUUAUACAGAGUAGAAAACAAUUACAGAUCAAGUGGAGAGUACACAGGGCAGCUCAGAAACGGUGGAUUAAAAAAAAAAUGCACUGAUAUGGGUGAAUGCAAAAUGAAUCUUACAGCCUGGGCAUCUCUCUAAUAAUGAUGAUCAAAUCUGUCAAACUAAACAAACAAUCUCACAAGCAUUUUCAGGGAAAGGGUUCAUGCUAGCACAGAAUCAUAGAGUUGGAAGAGGCAUCAAUAUUAUCUGGUCCACCCCCACCAAUGCAGGAAAUCCACUGUUGCAGCAACCCUGAUAGUUAUAGGUGGUCAAGCAGCCUCUGCUUAAAAAUUUCCAAUGAAUGAGAGUUCACCAUCUUCCAAAGCAGUCUGUUAAGUAGCUUAUAGCACCAGGAAGUUCUUCCUAGUGUUUCAUCCUUAUCUUCUUGUUCUCUUUUUCUUUUUGUAGCUGGAACCCAUUGCUUCAAGUCCCAUGUUCUGGAGUAGCAGAAGACAAAUUUGCUCUUAUUAUCUCUGCAAUAGUCCUCCAGAUAUUUGAAGAUGGCUAUCAUGUUGCUUCUUAAUCAUCUGUUCUCCUGGCUAAACAUAACGCAGCUCCUUUAACCUUUCCUCAUGAGACUUGGUUUCCAGGCUCUUCACUAUCUUUGUCACUGUCCUCUGGAGAUGGUCCAGCUUGUCAAUAUCCUUCUUAAGCUGUGGUGCCUAGUACUCUAGGUGAGGUCUGACCAAAACAGAAAUAGAGCACUACCAUUACUUCCUGCAAUUCGGACACUAUACUCCUGUUGAUGCAGUCUAGAAUUGCAUUCGCCUUUUUAGCUGCCAC